UACAGGGGGGGCAAGCGUUGUUCGGAAUUACUGGGCGUAAAGGGCGCGUAGGCGGUUUGUACAGUCAGACGUGAAAUUCCUGGGCUCAACCUGGGGGCUGCGUUUGAUACGUGCAGACUUGAGUUCGGAAGAGGGUCGUGGAAUUCCCAGUGUAGAGGUGAAAUUCGUAGAUAUUGGGAAGAACACCGGUGGCGAAGGCGGCGACCUGGUCCGAUACUGACGCUGAGGCGCGAAAGCGUGGGGAGCAAACAGG
rnacentral:rRNA from 1 species